rnacentral:rRNA from 1 species
UACGUAGGGUGCAAGCGUUGUCCGGAAUUAUUGGGCGUAAAGAGCUCGUAGGCGGUCUGUCGCGUCGAAUGUGAAAACCCGGGGCUCAACCCCGGGCCUGCAUUCGAUACGGGCAGACUAGAGUUCGGUAGGGGAGACUGGAAUUCCUGGUGUAGCGGUGAAAUGCGCAGAUAUCAGGAGGAACACCGGUGGCGAAGGCGGGUCUCUGGGCCGAUACUGACGCUGAGGAGCGAAAGCGUGGGGAGCGAACAGG